rnacentral:rRNA from 1 species
ACAUGCAGUCGAGCGGUAGCACAGAGAGCUUGCUCCUGGGUGACGAGCGGCGGACGGGUCAGUUAUGUCUGGGAAACUGCCUGAUGGAGGGGGAUAACUACUGCAAACGGUAGCUAAUACCGCAUAACGUCGCAGGACCAAAGAGGGGGACCUUCGGGCCUCUUGCCAUCAGAUGUGCCCAGAUGGGAUUAGCUAGUAGGUGGGGUAAUGGCUCACCUAGGCGACGAUCCCUAGCUGGUCUGAGAGGAUGACCAGCCACACUGGAACUGAGACACGGUCCAGACUCCUACGGGAGGCAGCAGUGGGGAAUAUUGCACAAUGGGCGCAAGCCUGAUGCAGCCAUGCCGCGUGUAUGAAGAAGGCCUUCGGGUUGUAAAGUACUUUCAGCGAGGAGGAAGGCAUUGUGGUUAAUAACCGCAGUGAUUGACGUUACUCGCAGAAGAAGCACCGGCUAACUCCGUGCCAGCAGCCGCGGUAAUACGGAGGGUGCAAGCGUUAAUCGGAAUUACUGGGCGUAAAGCGCACGCAGGCGGUCUGUCAAGUCGGAUGUGAAAAUCCCGGGACUCAACCUGGGAACUGCAUUCGAAACUGGCAGGCUAGAGUCUUGUAGAGGGGGGUAGAAUUCCAGGUGUAGCGGUGAAAUGCGUAGAGAUCUGGAAGAAUACCGGUGGCGGAAGGCGGCCCCUGGAACAAGACUGACGCUCAGUGCCAAAGCUUGGGGAGCAAACAGGGAUAGAUACCCUGGUAGUCCACGCCCGUAACGAUGUCGACUUGGAAGGUGAUCCCCUUGAAGAGUGGGCUUCCGGAGCUAACGCGUUAAGUUCA